UUUGGUGGCGAUAGCGAAGAGGUCACACCCGUUCCCAUUCCGAACACGGCAGUUAAGCUCUUCAGCGCCGAUAGUAGUUGGGGGUUUCCCCCUGUGAGAGUAGGACGCCGCCAAGC
rnacentral:rRNA from 1 species